UGCAUCUCAGUGCCUUGUUGGGGGAUCUCUGGGGGGAAGCCUAACCUGCCUGCUCAUCUCUUCCAGUGCUGGAAGUGUCGAGAGCUGAGGGUGACGUGUCUCUGGAGACCCAGGAGGGCGACUCCCUGAGUCUGAGCUGUGAGGCUGGGAGCAGAGCCGAGGCCAUCCUGAGCUGGGCCAAGGGGCAUGAGUCCCUCAGCCCUGGCCAGGGAGGGGACGGGCACCUGGAGCUGUUGAAUCUCAGCAGAGGGGACGCUGGGGAGUAUUGGUGCUGGGCCAAGAAUUCCUACGGGUGGGCCAGCCGGGCCCUGCAUGUGCACAUGCAGUGACACCCUGCUGCUGUUGUGGAAGCAGAAGGAAGGACCGGCCGGGAGCCCGGGAAUCCAGAAUGCCUGAGUCUGGCAUGCAGAUCAGGCCGUUCCUCAGCCACCAAAGUGUCGACAAGAAAUUGGAAUUUUACGGGACUGAGGAAAUGGAGGAUGAGACCUCAGCUGGGGGGACUGCCACUCCAAGUGAGGCCAACGGGCCCAUCUAGCCUGAUAUCCUGCCCCCUCCCUUCCCUCUGAAUCAGACCCAUGGGCCUGCAAAGCACGUGGAAACUGCCUGUAAUAUUUAUAUGACCAUGUGAUGUUAUUAAUAUGAAUUGUGAUCAUACAGAUCACUUUUGCAACCAAGGUCAUAUAGUGGCAUCAAAUCUUGUACAAAGGAGAUCAAGUAAGGUGUCUAUGAGGAGGUUAGGAUUUCCUGGUUAUGAUUGUGCUUUCUGUAUGCAGGUGUCAUUUUUGUAUUUAAAAUUAUAAAUAUUGGCUCUAUCCUGUCUGUAUUUCAAACUUGUGCCGUGCUACUGGGUGACACCUCACACAAUUUGGCAUCAGCACUAGCUAGCCUGCUUGAUGGCCCAUUAAGGACCAUCAACUAUACAAUUGACCCAUUGAGAGAAGGCAGAUACACCUUGUGAC
rnacentral:lncRNA from 1 species